GCUAUCCGUUGUGUCAUGGCACAGUGGGACAUCUGUCAGCCUUGCAUUUCUCAACUGGGCUAUCUUCCCUUUUCCGAACAUAGAUAUAAAAAAAUGAUGAUGAAUUCCAAGGAAAAAUGAGUGAGUUGAUUCCUCAAUUUAUCAAUCCUCUUUCUAUAUGAUAAUAUGUCAAAACAAGUUCGAUAGCCCAUUCAUAACACAAGCAAUCCUCUUCCCUUCCACUCGUACCGAAGGCUAUGUCCCAGUAAGCAUUUCCUCUGUUUCCUUGUUUCCCACCUCUGACCUUCCGCUAUGACCAGUCCACUAAGUCAGGUAUCUCUGAAAAGUAAGACCGUCCUCUUCCCUUCGUCAAUAGAAGAACUCCAACCAUGCUUUCUUGAAUCAUAAACUAUAUCAUAGAUAGAAUGGGAACGAUCCUUUCACUCAGGUAGAACUUUCAGCACCGGGGCCAUUUCUUUCAUUGGUUGCUUCACAUCACGUCUUUGCCAACGCCUACUCUAGCUAAUCUCCGAGAUAUGAUUCGAACAAGCAACUUCCAUCGAUCUGCUUUCGAACUUCCUUGUCUGACCAAGGGGCAGGAAGGCUUAUUGACAAUAUAAAACUAUCCCCGUAUAUCCCAACUUUUCGACUUCCAAUUCCAGCUUUCGAUACACAGAAGGAAAGCCAUCCCAACCUAGAGAUGAAGCCAACAAACCACUAUCUAUAUAGUAUGCCGACCAACCUCGCUAACCCGCGGGCAUUUCACCUAUCUUUCUUUACUUUCUUUAAUAUUUCCAUUUCUCUCCGAUUUUCCGGUUCAAAUACAAAAUUGAAGUUUGUACGUAAUAUCGAGUAUUCCAAAGAUAAGAGUGUACAGGUACCAAGGACUACCAGUAAGGAGCUACCUUGGGGAAUGCCGAAUUCCCUAUUGGAAUAGAUCUUGCCCUCGAAUCGAAGAUGGGGGCCGUAAAAAAAGCAGCUAUUUGAUUGAUGAGCAUUUCAUUCUUGUCGCCUACUUAGCUUCUCAGAAACUCAAGGAUGAGAUAUUUUUUCAAAACAGCUUUUGCUUUUGAUAUCUGCUUUUAUGACUCUAUUGACCGUAGGCCAACGUUUGACUUCCUGGAAAAGAGUGAUAGCGCCCCGUCUCGGCCGAAAUCCAUGCGAAUGCACGGAAAAUAGAGGAUCAAAUAACAGGUUAAAUAAGUGGGCUAGUCCUAGCCCUCCAUUACGAUCCUAUCUCUCUCCGCAGGUUGAGUUAUAGGUCGAAACAUUCCCGGUUUGUUCGCUUUUGGUAUGAACGACCGAAACAUUGCCGAGAAGCGAAAGGUUGAUGUCAACAACUCACACUGAAUUUCCUCCAGUUCCUCCCUUUGUGGCAGAGCGAGCGCCUUGACUAAGAUAGAUUUACUCUUUCAUUCUUGCAGCCUAUUCUGGUUCCAAUCGCGUUUGAGGAAAACCCCCUUUGGCAUCAAUGAAACUCUGUGAUAUAGGAGUUCAAAAACCUCAUUUCGUUUGAGAGAUAGUGGAAUUUAUUCUUUCAACACGUACAUCGACGAGGGUGUCGAUGACUUGAGUGAGGAAUGGUCAUGUGCUAGAGGCCGUACCGUUGGAGUAAGACCUCAACAAGGGGGUGUGCAGUUUAAAUGUAAAUGACGAGCAUGGAGAGGCCAAGGUCAUUUGUAAUUAGGUGUGGCUGAUGCAAGAAGACUGGCGAGCUGUCCAUGGUGAGACUCGUUGUGAUGCUACUGCAGGAGGCAUCCUGGUUGAGGGCGCAGAACUUCUGUGCGGGUACAACUGGCACUUAAAAGACCUUCCGUGUAGAUGAGUUCUCUUGAGUGAGACUAAUCGAGCGAGUUACGAAGAAACCUUUGCGAUGGUGCUGUGCAGUUGGGUUCUCUAUGGAGGAACUUCGUUGUGGGGACCAAGGCAAAUAAGGAUACCCGGUCAGUCACGCGAAUAACGAACAAAUAACGAAUGCGCACAAACCACUUUUACUGAUUCAAUUCUGUAUAUAGCGCUUCCUUAUAUUAUAUUAUCUAUACUCCCCUCCCUUUCUGAUUAUUCUAUUUAAUGCAAGAGUAAGGAUAGACGUCUUAUUCUUCAGUGUUGAGAUAGAAUGACUGUAGACCCUCUUCUCUCUUUUAGUUAGCCUUACUUAUUUAUUCCAAUUCCUCAGCUGGAAACAGAACUACCAAAGGGAAGAAGACAGAAGGCAACAAAGGCGCGUAUCAGCUUCAAGCAUAUAGAGAACUUGACUUACUCACCUACUUUAAUGCCUGCUUUUUACUACUUGAAAUUGAAAGCUGGCUUGGCUCUCAGACCAAUUAACUUGACACCUGCUUAGCGCCCUCACUGCUACUUCUCUCAUUAAGCUGCUCUCUCCUUUUAUCAACUUAUGAAAAAACAGCCUAUUGAUCUUCCGUCGCUCGCUAUGGAUGGUUGCAGUUGCCAAAAGGCUACCUUUUCGCACAACACUUAAAUGAGUCACUGACUGGUUUUGACGUACGUAAUACUUAACCUUACAAUCGGCAUUGCCCUUCUUCUUGCAACAGAGGAUUCGUUCUCUACGCCGAAAGGCCCAAGGCGAAUACAGAGGCUAAGAAUCAAAGCAAGGACUUUUUUAUUUGAAAAAGAUGAUAAAACAGGUCAAAGAGCCAAUAGAGGGAUGUGCUCGCCGCACUUCUUAGCGUUUUCGAUGCAAAAUCAUUUGUCGCGGGAAUUACGAGAAGUCCUCAUUCAAGCACUAGAAAAACCAGAGGAAUUUAAAGCCCCGAAAGAAAGAUGAUGGAAACAAUGCACAUCGACCAAGUAGCGACCAUUACCUUUGAGGAUGAGGACCUGAUAAACGGAUCUGCUAAUCAUAAUAAACCCUUGUAUGUCACGGAGCUUAACUUCACUUAAGUUGGUGGAUCCAGGUUGUCUACAAACAUAAACAUUCUCCCUUUGAAGAAAAUCACAAAUGACAUUGAGUGAGCGCAAGUCUAUAGGGUCCAUGGGUUCAAUCAAAACUCUCAGAAAGCUCUGGGGGCAAUUACACUGCCCAUGCAAUUCGGUUCAUUUCCGACCUUGGUCAAAUUCUAUGUCAUUGACGCCGACACUUCCUACCGAGCCCGGGACCUUGGUUACGUGAAAACCGAAUGGUGCCCUCGACCUUGAACCUGUGUUUGAAGAAAAUUACGAACAGAAUAAGAGGCUACGCGCAGUACUACGCGGUGCAUGGCAUUGAAACAGAAGAAGAGCAUGGCACCCGUCUCCCGAAAAGUGUGUAAGAUGACCAGCCUCCUAUGCCCCGAUAUGUUGAAAGGAAAGAACGUGGAGCAAGCGCUUCCGAUCAGGUGUGGUCAAUUUGAUAGCUGCCAGUUUGCAAAAUUAUGGUUGUCCUAUCGGCGCUAGAAGAAGCGUCCAUACGCCGCUUUUAGGUAUCUCCGCUUCAGACUGAAGUUUCCCACGGCUUAGAAUAGAAGACGUUGAAGCCGCACUAGCUAUGUGCCAGGACGAUGAUACAGCAAGAUUAAGGAUCUCCGUAAACAGAAGAAACUCAAGUGAAAGAAGCCCACUAAUUGAAUAGUCAACUUAGAUGGUUCCACUAGAAUGGAGGGCAACUUCGGACACUCCUCUUAUUUUACUAACUUAAUAUUCUCUGGCUGGUUCUUAGAGUUUUCGUCCUGACAUUGUUAAGCAUACUGCGAUUCACACACCUACCGACUUACGACUGCUUACACAAUAAAGGUUUUCACUACCUUAGCUUACGGAUAGAAUGAAUGCUUGUACUUGCCCAAGGUGACUUCGCAUUACUCUAUACACAGGGUACUGUACUAUAGGGUUAGGGUUAGGGUUAGGGUUAGGGUUAGGGUAGGGUUCCGUUGAGAUGAGCCUUCCCCACUGUACAAGAGUUAUAAUAUUCUAUUAGAUUGGGAAUUGUACCCGCUGGUUUUCUUUUAAGAAAAGACACAGAGUCCUACUUGGGAUUGGGACUUCCACAGUAGCUCCUUUACCAAGACUUGAUAAAGUAGUUCGCAGUAAAGAAAGAACACGGAUACGUUACUAAUAAUAAUAAGAUUGGAGUUAAGAUGCGGAUCAAUUUGAUAUGCUAUUUGUUAUUAAACACUGGUGUAGUACGACUACAUACAUAGCCUUCUUAUCCAGUACCAAGGGUGAAAUAAGUAUUCAAAGUACCAGCAACACUCGAGAAGAGAGAUUCUGUCGAAAGAAGAAGUGCGCCAACGCUGGAGACCUACAAUAUACCAUAUCCGAGGGGCUACCCAACAAGGAGUAGCUACCCAGUGCGAUAGCUUGCUUUUACUAAUUAAUAAAGGACCAACUUCUAUACUCUCCGUGAGAGACAUCGGAAGAAUAAGGGCUUGACGGGAUGGGCUAAUUGAAGAGAUAUUGAAGCCCCCUAUGAAUUCAAUGUGCACGCGGACCGGGGGAAAUCCGCUUUGGGCGAGCGUGAUGAAACUCCUUCUCAUUCACUCGGUCGAGAUCUGGUGUGAACGAAUAGGCUAUGAGAAAGUGAACUUGACUACGCGCUGUCGGGUAUUACGUUGGUGGGAGAAAGAGACAUGAAUACUCCUCCUCGCUUACUGUAUUUCCUGGCUUUGCUGCUUAUCUUUACUCGUUUGAAAUAGUCGGCUAGCUUUUCACUAGUUUCUAGAUUGAAAGUUAGGCGAAUUCCACACUGAAAUGCUUAAUUCAAAGCAGACUAGGUCUUUGCUUGCUUUAGUACAGACAUCCCCGGUGAUGAACUCGCUACCUACUUGAACAUCCCAUUUACUUUCCUUUUCUCUCUGCCGGCUGAGCGCUUAUUCAAGUAGUUUUUCUUUACUAUAAUAUAAGCCCCACCUAUUACUUCUGCUAAUCUUGGAUUGCCGAGCCGAACAGACACUGUACCUACCUCAGCCAGGAUUUUGGACAGCAAAAGAUGGCCAGGAUGUAACACAUUAGGAGGGAUAGGCUCCGCUGAAAUAGCGGGACAAUAAAACUUGACACGGUUGCUUUGCUUUAGCUAUAACAGGAGGAAUAGCCUUCAUCUAGAGUGAAAUCAUUAUUAGAUAGGAUAUUCUUUGAAUUCACAUAGAAAAGUCUAGUCUACUGAAUAUAUGAUACUGAAAGCAAGACGUAGGCGUUGGCAAAGGAAUUUGCCUUUACUAUACUAUACUAUACUAUAACGCACACGUUUCAUUAUUGUUGCUUUACUAUAUAUGAUAUGAUAUGAUAUUCCUUUUAUCAUGAAUUGGAUUGGAACCAAGGAAGUUUUAUAGCUUAUUGAAUUUUGGGGAAAGAAUCACUCUCACUUAUAGGCUUACUAGUUCCCGUAGUUCCACUACACAGUUCAUCAGUUGGAAAUAGAGUCCUAUUGCUUUAGUAGGGGUUGUAAGAUCACACCUGAAACUUUGGUUGUAAUCCCUGGGGCAUUUAACCUUGUUUUUCCCUUGUGAGCCGCCUAUGUAAAUCCACGAUCUUUAGGCAAAUUUGAAUCAAUCAUCGCUCCAGUGAGUAACGUAUUUUUUGGACUUGUAAUAAUAGCCUUGUCCAGUAGCGAAGUACUAACUUCUUUACUUUGCUUGCCCUGUCCGCCUUUCAGGAAGCCUACUUGGCGAUGAACAAGACUUUGAAUUGAAGGUCGAGUAAACUAUUCGAAGGAUCGCCGAUUCAGUCCUCUUUUUUUAUGUUGUAGAGUCCGUAACUGGUCUUUUCUUUGGGAAUGGUAACCUUACCCCGUGGUCAAACUCUUGUCUUGUGGGUGGUCAAUCUCAAACUCUUUAUUAAUAUAGGCGGAUAUUCUAAGAAGGCUAAUAAUCAUUCUCAAAAAAUCCUUGCCUAAAUCUGCGCCAUCUGUGUCCGUCUAGUGAAGAUAGCUAAUGGAUUCCUCCCCAAGCUUCUUUCUUAUUAGUUGCCUCAGCACCCGAGUAAUAGACAGUGGGACUAGUUCUUAGUAGGCAAGCACCUCCUUGAGUGUCCAGUGUCAAAAGAAUGCCAGGACCAGCCGAUCCAUCCAAGGUGAAUGAGCCGCACGAACUGCUAACUACAGAUAUCAUUUGCUCCUUGGUUUAGACUUUAGAACAGCACUAGAUCUUAAGUAUAAGUAAUUGUGGGAGCAGACCUCCUAAAGCACCAGACCAUUUUAUGAACCAAUUGCAAGUAAAAGUAGUCUUUGCAGCAAGUUAAACAAUAGUAUCACAAGUUCACAACUAUGAAUGCUCACACUCAGGAUAGACGCCCAGCUUUAUUAAGAAAGCCAAAGUUCAUACAAUAAAAAAGGAAAUAAGGAAAGCAGGGGACACCUGCGUUACAAUGAGGUAAUCUGACUUAUAACGACUCCUGAACAACUCAAACACUAGAAAGCACUAGUAUCACCAAACCAACAACUGAGCUUUCGACAGACGGACUUAGUCUUUCUUCAGGUCCCGCUAACCUAGUGAUGUAGAAGAUUAGCGCCGGAUGGCACAAGGCGCUUUGCUGUGCAGCCUCUCCACAGAAUUUUGCUGCAUGCUGUGAUGGUGGAACUGUCAUUUUGGGGAAGAAGAAAGCCGCCCCCUUUUGCGGCAGAGUGGGCAGCAUCGCUUUCCCUCGCGUAGCUUCGAUGCCAUGAAAAAGCAGAAAAAAGACAAGAAAAAGAAAAAACAGUAUCUUUUGGAUUCCUGCCAUUAAUUACAGGAAAACGAAUUGUGGAGCUGUAGGCUUCAAAGUAAGGGGAGGACCGAGAUUAUAUACCCAGCAGCAGCGCGGGAUCGAAGGGCUUGGUUGGAAGGUAAGUUGGUGGUAGGUUAGGGGUCUUUCCCGCGUGAUAGGCUUGGCGCUUCCCGCCUGAUAGAUAACCACCACCACCUUUUACAUGCAAGACUGCCAUGCGGCACGAAUUUCACGGUAGGUACAAUCCUGAUAAGUUUGCAGCAGUUGAGUCAUGCCUUUGUAAACAAACCUUUCCCACCUUUAACAAACCGAUCCAAAACCAAGAAAGAAAGAAAAGAAGGAAUUUUAGCACAAGGUUCGCCAGACUUGCUUCUCGCUGCGCUCGAUCAAAGAAAGAUAAAUCGAACAAGAGCUGCGCUCGACCAAGAAGUCAUGGGGCUAGCUCGAACGAUAUAAAGAUGGAAUCAGCAGUGUCAGAAGGUACUUCAACCAAAACAGAGUAGCAUGGCCGGGCAGUAUUCGAAGCCUGUGUUCUCCCGAAUAGCAAUAGAAUAUUUUCUGACGGUAUUUUCAUUUUUUCAAGUGCUAUUGCCUUCUCGGUAUCGUUUUCUUCAAGAAGGGAAGGAAUCGGGGGUUCCGGGCAAGACUGUUUGGCUCUAUGUUCAGGAAAGGAAUGCCCUCAGGGAAGAAAGAGGAAAGUAGCAUAGCAGAGAAAAGAAUCUCUGUUCUCAGUCUAAGUAAGCCCGUCCUAGCAAUAGUGGCUGAAGCUGGUCUCGAUCUCGAACUCAAACUGAUGCCUAGCUGCCUCCAUCUCCGCUUCCUUCUACUACCAGCGUGCGCUCAUCCCUUGCUUGUUCUUUCAGGACUGAGUAUGAUGAAAUAUUUGGAGAUCUGACUUACUUUAGUCCGUAUCGUCGGUCUACUUCUGACAAGCAAAAGGCAUAAUAUCCCCAAUGAGUCAGGAAUAGAAGAUGCCAACGUGUUGAGACCGACCUAAAGAUCUUGUCAAACAAUACAGGCUUUCUUCCAAAGAAUAUCCCACUUUGUUGGCUGGCCUGGGAAAUCUUCCUAGCCUUGACUGUCGUUGCGUUUAACGAGCUUGACAAAACUACCUCCCCGCUUCUCAAAACAAGGCAGAUUAAGGGAGAAUGCCAUCUUUUUCGUAGAUAGUCAGAGUUCGAGCUACUGGACUGGCUUCGGCUUCUUCCUUCGAGUUAGAGUGCCCAAUGCUAAUAUUCUCAAAUGCCUUAACCGUAAUUUUCGUUGAUUCGUUUAGACUUCAUCCUAUAUACGCUUAUGGACAGGCAGAAAUGAACGGAUACCAUUCUCCAGAGCCAGAGAUAGUAGCUUAAUUAGCUUAGGUUUCAAUCCUAACGCACGAGAAGAAAAACGAAAAGCAUGGGACUUCCAGUACGAUAGGGCCGGACCUCAAUGGUCCUUUAUGUCUGAAGCGGAUGUGAGCGUGGUCAACCGAAUCUGAGCCGUGUGCACUGCCAUGCCAGGCGUCGGAACGCUAAUCGGAGCACAUAGAGUGGGCGGUGGCAAAGCAGUCAUCGCGCGUGUGUGUAUCUCUCCCCGAGAAGAGGCGCAUGGGGUAGCGAGGCAAAUCGUGUUUCAUCAAAUGUGACAUGUCUUGAGACGUGCGGGGAUCAUAACAGCAGUACCCCUUGUGCUGAUCACUAUAGCCAACGAAAAUAAAUGACUUUUUUCUCAAAGGAUUGACUUUGGCCACACCGUCUUGAUCAAAGAGCUCGGGUUACACAAAUCUCCCUUCUUUGUGUACUGGAACAGCUACCACUUCCUUUUCCUUUUCCUUAUCCUUAGAACAGCACUAACUUACCGCUCUCUAUACUAUAUAAAAAUAAAAGAAAGAGAAUAGCUCCAUAACAAAAAAAAUAGUGAACUGCCAUGAAUUACACACACGCUAGUAGUGGCUUGGCUCGGCUAGAGGACUACAGCAGCCGAAGCCGUGAUUUGUAUGGUAUGUCUUGCCCUCAAUGUCUGGUUGGUUGGUAAGUCACUAAAUCCCUAUCUCCCGGUGGUCGAGUACCCCCGACGCGUCGAAUGGGUUGUUUAGUCUGACUUCUUGUGCUGGCCCGACAUCAUUCUGUCUCCCGCAUUCUCUCCUUUCAUCGGUUUGUUUUUUUUACUUCGCUUCGCGAUUAGAGUUGUACGCAUCAUGCAUGGGAAUCCUUCCGUCCUUGAUGUUAACGCUCUCGUGCGUAGGUCCCGGGUCAAAGGCAUCUCGAAGGAAGCUGCUCCGCAUAUGCGAUCACCUCCAUGUACCUACAGAUGAGGGCUCCAACGCCUACUGUACAAUCAUGUGGGAAGUGCAUCCUGCACACCAGAAAGUAAGUGGCGUACGCCACACCCCCUCCCCCUGUACCUACACCCAUUGAAACGUUUAUUGUCUGACAAUCUCCGACGCGACGCGCAACGCCCCAUGCAAAUCCCUACGUCGGUCGAUCGAUGCGCACAGAAGGAGAGCUUGUCCAUAACGAAAACGCGUAUGUUAAGUAAAGUUAUGUUAAGUAAAGUAAAGUAAGGACAGCAAGCCAGUAAUGAGAAUAAGCUCUUCAUCUUAGUUUCCGCUUUCAGACAAGUACAGCGUCCACUUUUCUCAUAUUUGCAAAUUGCAGAUCUUAAUCUUAAUAGGAUGUUGGCUAAAAUAAGGGAGGGAUCGGAUCCAAAUACGCAGUGCAAGAUGAAUGGCCGAAAGAAAGAUUAGAAAGUAUGCCCUCGAUUGGGCUGUGACCGACACACUCACAUUGAGUCGCCGAUACAGGUAGUGGUCAGUCUGCGCAAAGCCAUAAUACCAGAUAUCGGAAAGCGAAGCGUGGUGCUAACAUGACUAAAAAAACGAUUCGGAAAUCUGGAACGAAGAGAAGUUAGUAAAUAGGCCUUUUGGGAAGCCCUUGAUCGAGUAGUGAAAGCAUUUGAUCCAUCAGAUCAGUGCUUGAUCUUCUACUUAUACUUAAUAGGUUCAAGACCUAAAUAAAGGAAUGAAAACAGCUGCAAGAUCCGCUUACUUCUUUCUCUUAGUCAGCUCUAUCUCAUAUUGCCUACGAGCUCUCGUAGUAUCUCACAGCAGUAUCGAAUAAUGAAAAGAAGGAAAGCUCUAUUGAAUAAGCCAAGGAUAGAGAGAGGCCCCUUAAAGAACUAUUUGAGAAAAGGAAUAUAUCUCCAGGUUAUUCAUUCAAUCCUAAUUUUCAAUCUCGCGAAUUCAAUAAAAAGAACUCAAGGCUGCGACAUCCACUUUAAGACUAGUUAAAAAGAAAAGGUUCCACCCUUCUAGUUAGACAACCGAUAUGCGACAUCAUACUUAGUAUGGGAGUUGCCGCUGAUCUGCGACAUCAAUAGAUAAGCAUGGUAUGCGAAUAUGUGUUGUUGAUCUCUGCAUCGCGAUGCUACUUUCGUAGGGGAGAGCAGUCAGUCCCCACCAAGGUGGGUCUAAGGGCUUUUUGGGGGGGUAAUUUCGCUUCGUUCAUCUUCAAGUGCCGACAGUUUCUAUUCCCGAGUGUGAAAAGCCAGUACUGGAUAGACGGUUUAGAUACGUCACUGAGUGCCCCAUGGGUCAUCUUGUUUCCUAUUUAUUGGAAGCUACAUAAAGCAUCCCUAUAUUAAGAUGAAGUAAGAAAGCAUCAGUCCUCUUUUUUUCUGUCUUCUAUGAAAGAAUGUAGCUCGCUCUUUCAACCCUCUGCGGAACUGUUUGAGUUUUAGCAUUGACCCCAUUUCCUUUUGAUCGUAUUACGCUUGACUCGCUGCAAAACAUUUCGCUUUCUGCGCUCGCUCGUACGUGGUUUACACUCCUUGCCUUUCAUCUGACUUUUCCAUCGGGCAAUUGUUUGUUUUCAACUGGAUUGGAUUCCAAAGCAAAGAUAGGCAACUUUCACUUGAAAGAAAGGAGCUUCAGAACUAUUGUAUUCCACCGAAUAAGAAUAAGAGCAAGAAGGGGCUAUCUUUGUGAAGGGACCGGCACCAGAAAGUAGAUCAUAUGGCCUUUCUUUCGCAAAAAAAAAUAAAGUAAAGCCAGAAAUGCAGCAAAGCAAGUCGUCUUUGGUUUGGAGCGAAAUUCCCGGAUGUAUAGGCUUGAUCGAGUGCCUUACCUGAAAUCGACGAUCUAAAGUGGGUUCUUUAGCUUGCUCCGACAGAGGUCUCCUUCUCCCUUAGCAGCGAGACCAGUCCCUACCUCUUUUCAAGAAAUCUUUCAUACCUUUUCUACGCCUAAAACAAGUUCAUGUCUCUCCUCUCUGAAAAGUAAGUCGGACCUUAUUGAAAAGUAGUACGCUUUCUUUCGUGGUGUUCAGGAUCCCGUGCUUUGUAGUUCACGCAUGGCUUUCUCUAACGAAGCUAAUGCCGAAUCGAAUUAAAGACCUUAAACGGAGGAGGUGGCGAAAAACAAAAAAAGAGAAAGAGCUUACAAACUUCUCUGAACCCGGUAGCCAGCGGAGCCCUUAUUCAUGGGUUAGGGACUAGCAUUGAACAAAGUUGGUGACAGCCGAAGAAAAAGUGAAAGGGCAAGUAAAUAAUCUAAACAUGCGAAAAAAAAGAAAAAAAGUAACGCGCCCUACCUGUUAGUAUUAGUAAAGUAAGGCCUUCCAGAGCCACACAGACAUACACGCGGAGCGGAUGAGGGCACUGAAAUAAAUGGAUGUCGAUCCGGUACUUAAAUUGCAUAGAAAAAAAAGAAAGAAGUUCAUACUUGAUGAAACGCACAUCAUCCAAUGAAUGAUUUAAGAACACAGACAGAGAGAUAUUUACUUUUUUCACAUCUGUAACUACAUUCUCACAUUUCUUUUUUGAUCUUUUUAUGCGAUCGGAAAACGAAUGAGAUCAGAAAGAUAGGCAGACGACUUGACGAUAAGGUCGGAUGUUUCCGUGAGCAGUAAGCAGCGGAUCUCCCCUUUUUUUGGGGAAAGCUGGUGGCCCUUUUGGCGUGUUAAUUCGGGCGGCCUUCUUCGUUCGGUAGAUCCGGUCGAGGUGGUUUUCGUUUACCAGCGCGUAGGUGGUUGAAGUUCCUAUGACCGAGUCUUUCUGGCCCCUGUGAACAUAUUUUCUUAAUGUAUUAAAGAGGGCCUCUCUAACCGGUGAAAAGUGGUAGGUGUCCACUAACGGCUAUUCCUGGCUCGGCUCCGAUAACGCAAUUCCGGGAGGAGUCGGUAGUUGGGCACUGGAUCCCUUCGGACCUGGAGAACGUGUGACACUGGGUCGGGGUUUGGUGAACCAACAGGUCGCUCCUUUAGUUGAAGUAUCGGGCCCCUUUUUCGUUGCCUAGGUUACACCUUCGGAAUACCCCAGACGGGGAUUUCGCUCUAUUCCCCCCAAUCUUCACUUUACGCCACGCCGACUCUCCGUCGUGGAAUUAGACCAAGGGUCGAAGACCCAUACCAUAGGACCCCGUCUCCCGUAUCUUAUCUUUCGCACGUAGGAGAUCGAGACACAGCCUUAGGGCUAUGGGGAAAGUAGAUCGAUUGCCCAAGAAUUACAACUACAUAGAGGGUCUCUACAAGUCUAUAAAGAAGUUUCCAAAAAUUGAUCGGUAGUAGUCCGGUCGCACCCGAACAAUAAUAUUCCAGAGGGAAAUGCACCUAAGAUCAAAUAUUUUGAGCCGGCUUCCGUGGAAAAUUCAGACUUUCUUUUUGAUGCUGCGAUCACAUAAAAACAUAAACUUUGAAGCUCAAUAGCUAAAUACAUGGCAAUUAAAUCAUGAGCCGGGAUCAUUAAGAGCAUACUGCGAGUAGGAAGUGGAAUUAAUACAAUGAAUUCAAAAGCAUCAAACCUCUCUUUUUCGAAAGAAUCGAAACACAUCGAAAUGGUACCAGCCGUACUUAAUAAUAGAAGGAUUUGGCAGAAAUAUGUAAAAUUGUCCCUCCUAAAAAAAUUAUUCCAGAAUAAAUGGGCAAUAGUUAGGAGAGGUGCGCCAGCGGCGAGCAGAAGCAAGGUUAUUAGAUACCGAAGGAAAGCCCGGCCAGAACCACACGUGCAAGUUUCCCUGCAUGUGGCUCGUCCGUGAUAACUUCUUCGGAUUUGCGUGAACUAGCGGACCGAUCACUAAGUGGUUAGUACCUCCAGCAUGAGCGAACCUUUUAUGAACUGGUUAGGAAUGGGCGCCACUAUCCCAGCCCGGAUCCAGCCGGGUUCUAUUGAUCAUGUCCCCUUCCCAACAGUUGUACCUUGUCUUGGGGCGUCUUUCUUUGGCUUUACUAUCAAGCCCGCCCGCCCAGACGCGGCGCCCUUUCGCAUUAUCAUCUACCGCCCUUUCUUUCCUCCCGUCCCUUCACGCAUGAAGAUCGUCGUAUGUAUGUUCGACUUCGGUUGCCGGUGCAAUAGAAUUGGCGGGAGUAUAUUAUGGCAGGAUCAGUCACCUGGGCAAACCAACCCUCCUCCAAGAAGAAUUGUGCUAUGCCCCCCCCCGAUAUCCCUAUAGAGCGAAAGAGCUGCCUGGUGAUCCCUAGGUUGCAGCACGUCCGGUCGUUAACUCCUCGCUAGCUGCCGCCGUUUUUAGGACCGACCGACGCCUCACCUGCAUGCACAGGUACCUACGUAGUGUAGUGUCGGUCGCACAUUCAUAAUAGCGUUCGGACUCAUGUGCCUUCCUGAACCAGGGGAGUUCCCUUGCUCCUGCUGCGUACGAUUAGCCAGCCUUGCGGCGGCAAAAGGAUUAGGACGUCCCCCCAUGCUAAGGUUCCCUGCGGUCCGGCCGCAUUAGGUUAGGGAGCUGGGCGAUAAUAGCUCCUCCGCAUCCCAAGCGCGCUGCCCUCCUAGGCGCGCAACACUAAGUAAUCCAAGCCAACCCACAUUACUAACUAACGGUGGAUAAUCAUCUUUCUUAGAGGUACUAAAUACAACUCCAUGAAUGAGCAAAAUGAAGGUUGCGUUAAUGAGAAAGAUCUCUGGGGAAACCGCUAAAAAAAGAUUGAACAUGUGUUUCGAUAACUUCUUCUGCUUUCAUUUCCUCUCCUCCGUCUGCCUGCAAAAUCACUGAGUUAAUUCAAAAGUCCUGUUAGGUCACAUAAAGGCGCUUGCCGCUAAACUAAAAUAGGAAUGCUUAAAUAUGCCCCCGCCCCCUUUUGAGAUCUUCAUAUUGAAACAAUAGUAGCGCAUGCUCAUACUCAGCCCUUUCGAGCUGAGCACGGCUGCGGGCGAUUCCAUCCCAUCGGAUCCUUUGCGCCAAUUCAUGGCACCUCCUGGAAGUGGUCUGUGCAUCCAGGUAAUCCUGGUUGUGCGAAACCACCUCCAAAAAGAAGAUGGAUCCUUCCCCAUUCUCCCGCAGAUCUUGAUAAGCUGCCCGGAGAAUAGAAAGAUUAUCCAUUCCUUUGUCCAGAUAGGAACGAACCGCCUCUUCUAAAAUGUACGGCUCGAGGGCUUGUUAAGGAAGGCGGCUAGGGAAGGAGGGAAAACGAAAGGCGUUUUCUGGUUAAAUACAUUACAAGAUGUUUUUCCAUACUUUCCGCCUUCAAGUCCUAUCUCCGUCUAGGACCUCUGAGGUGUCUCAUUCCCAUCUCCUCUCUCUCGAGAUUAGCUUCCGUCCCUUUAGAAGCCCGGAGGUCCCGGAAAUCCUUAUAAAUUUAAGCGAAAUAGGGUCCCUAAAACUUUGUAAGAUUUCGGGCAUCUUUUCCGCCCCGUGGCGCUCAGUUAAAUCAUCCACCAAGUGGGCGCAACUCGCCCACUUUCUUCGACCCCAAUUCAUUGUAAAAACCAAUAAUGAUUGGUUUCAAUUCUUCUUCAAUAUCGAAUAACUGUUCCAUAGUCCUGAUAUCUUGCUCGGUAAGCGGCCUUGAAGGUGCACUGCUGUCCUCUGGCUGGUCCGGCCCAAGCGGAGCACUCGACGGCUCUGCUCUCCCCGAUCAGUUGGCUGAAUCGAUGGAUUAGGCGCCGCUAAAGCCAUUUCCGGCUGCUGCACCUCUUGCCCAGGUUCCACAGGUGCCCCGGGUAUCUCCCGAGAAAGCCCCUGGAAAAACGACGAGGACGGGCUAGAGGUUCCAUCGGGGUUGCCCGCAGCGGAUCCCCCCCGCAUUCUGAUCAGGUUCGUUACCCAUUCCGCUGUGGUCAUCAAAGAAGAAUAAUAAAAAAGUGCUGUUGUUACACUCAACAGAGUGAAAACGCGAGCAGCCCAAACUGGGCAACGCGGCCAUAAAGCGCGAACCAACAUCCGUGAUACGAAAACCAAAAUCAGAAUGAGGAAGAAAAGGAUAUCUUUAGGUAAGUCAUGAAAAUGAAAACCCAAUAAGAACUUACCCAAUAAUUUAGAACAGAUCACUUCCAAACGAGACAUGAUGAGCUAAAGUCAAAAUAAAAUGCAAGAGAAAUUCAAAUUAUGUAAGGCUUAGAAAAAAGUCCUGCGUAGAGUCCACGGGGAGCCUUUUUCGAUUUGAUCUCUAGUCAAACUAAGACUGGAGCUUGAAGCCACUACUCUAGAACCGGAAGAAGCCUAACUUCUGCAUUUUGAGUAGAUUUUCUGACUAUCAUUUGCCUUGAAUUACAAUACGAUAAUCUUCGAUUGGUAGAAGUGAGUCCGGAUCUCCCUCUUUUCCACUAAACCCGCCACUCCUACUUGUACUUUAUUUUCCACCUGGCUAGCUUCAAUUGCUUAGUAGGGAGUUUCCAUCCUUGACUUUCGCGGUUCUUUCUUUGCUUUCUUCAGUUGUGUUGAGGAGCUAUCUUUUGAACCCAACUAACUCUUAAAUCCGAACUUUCCCUGCAGCUUUAGGGCUUCUAGUGAGGAGAGGUGAUUCUCUAGUUUCUCAUUCGCAUAGCCAUCUCGAUUAACUGAGUUGACUUGUGAGCUCCCCUAACCCGGCAGGCAGGCCAAAGAAUGAAGGGCAGUGAAAAUGGUUUCUUCUUCUGGCUAAUUCCGAUACGAAUACCAAAAACAGCUUACUUCCGUUCGUGUCCUCGGAAAUUGGAUUACUUAUGAGUUUCUUCGGUGCAAAAGUAGGCAAGUCCAUUUUAUCGUGUUUUUCGUCCUCAAGACCUGAUUUUCCAAAGAAAAUAGCCUGCCAAAGAGCUAGCUAUAGAAAUACAGUCAGUCGGGGUAAACUGAAAGAAGGAAAUCUACAUUCAUAGAUAGUAGGGCAAUAGGCUCACUUACAUAGUGGGGACAGCAAUAGGCUCACUUACUUUUGAAAUAAGAGGGUCGGUCAACUCUCGGCAGAUAGGGUAGUUGCUAAAUAAAAGCAAAGAAAGAGUGAGUUGAAAGAAGAAAUGUAUGUGGGUCACCAUAUAAUAUAUAUAAUAGUACCUAACUUACUAGGUAUCUCGGUCAACUGCUAGCUUUUCAUCCUUGGUGCAGUAUUUCCACCUUCUAUUGCUUUGCUUGCCUAGCUCUUACUACCGUUAUUUCCAUCUGAGAACUAGACGCCCGGUUCAACUUAGCCAAGUUAAGGGAACGCACUACUCUUCCCUACAAGCAACGGAUUGAGCGCUAGCGCGAAAGCCGGUGCGCGUUAGGCGCAUCCGUUUUCUUGCUUAGUAGUUACUCACUGGGAUUCCCGCAGUGCAGCCGUUGCUUGUUGGGCUACAAAGCACUUCUUAGACGGAAGAGCGGCAAGCAAGCCUACUCAAGUACCUAGCACUCCACAACCCAUUAGUUGGAAGGCAAU
rnacentral:lncRNA from 1 species